CCUACGGGAGGCAGCAGUGGGGAAUAUUGCACAAUGGGGGAAACCCUGAUGCAGCGACGCCGCGUGAGUGAAGAAGUAUUUCGGUAUGUAAAGCUCUAUCAGCAGGGAAGAAAAUGACGGUACCUGACUAAGAAGCCCCGGCUAACUACGUGCCAGCAGCCGCGGUAAUACGUAGGGGGCAAGUGUUAUCCGGAUUUACUGGGUGUAAAGGGAGCGUAGGUGGCAUGGUAAGCCAGAAGUGAAAACCCAGGGCUCAACUCUGUGGAUUGCUUUUGGAACUAUCAAGCUAGAGUGCUGGAGGGGUAAGCGGAAUUCCUAGUGUAGCGGUGAAAUGCGUAGAUAUUAGGAGGAACACCGGUGGCGAAGGCGGCUUACUGGACAGAAACUGACACUGAGGCUCGAAAGCGUGGGUAGCAAACAGGAUUAGAUACCCGAGUAGUC
rnacentral:rRNA from 1 species